rnacentral:lncRNA from 1 species
GGGUGUAUAAUGGGAAUAACAUCUGGUUUGUUUCUCAGGGUGUAUAAUGGGAAUAACAUCUGGUUUGUUUCUCAGGGUGUAUAAUUGGAAUAACAUCUGGUUUGUUUCUCAGGGUGUAUAAUGGGAAUAUGGCAGUGUGUCUCUGACAGUCACUUAGGGAGAUACUGUAUCUCUCUACACACACACACACACACACACACACACACACACACACACACACACACACACAGAGUGAUGGCAGGCCGUGGGGAAGUUGUUUUGGCCCUCAGCCAGGUCAUUUACUAGAGCGAUUCAAGUUUUACGUUUUAAUGUUAAAAUGCAGUGAAGACAGUGAAAAGCCUUUCCUGCUCUAAACCCAACGAUGCGGUGACCAACGUCAAUACAAAACACAACAGGUAAGAAGCCACUCUGAACGUCAAUACAAAACACAACAGGUAAGAAGCCACUCUGAACGUCAAUACAAAACACAACAGGUAAGAAGCUACUCUGAACGUCAAUACAAAACACAACAGGUAAGAAGCUACUCUGAACGUCAAUACAAAACACAACAGGUAAGAAGCCACUCUGAACGUCAAUACAAAACACAACAGGUAAGAAGCCACUCUGAACGUCAAUACAAAACACAACAGGUAAGAAGCCACUCUGAACGUCAAUACAAAACACAACAGGUAAGAAGCCACUCUGAACGUCAAUACAAAACACAACAGGUAAGAAGCUACUCUGAACGUCAAUACAAAACACAACAGGUAAGAAGCCGCUCUGAACGUCUAAAUGUUGACUCUCCCUCUCUUCUCCUCAUCUCUUCUCUCUCUACUCCUGUCUCCUCUCCCCUGUCUUUUCUCUCCUCUCCUCUCCUUUCCUCUAUCUGAAGGUGACAGUGUGGAACCAGACUCCAAUCACUCUGUUUCGCUCUGUUCCUAUUGAGAGGCGCACACACACCCUGCUUCCCAAACACCCACACCAGACAGACAGACAGACAGACAGACAGACAGACAGACA